UAAAAUGAACACCAUAUAUAAGAGUGCUUUCCCAAUUUCAAUUGCACGCACGUUUGAAUGAGUCAGUUUGCGGUACUUAUUAAUACAACUCAAAGCUUUCACUUCAGUUUAACACUUCAUUCCAGACACAAACGAAGUGUUUUAUUUAAUUGUUAGCUGCAAUUCACAGUAACAAUGCAUCACUGCAGUAAUUUACAACCACCAUGUUAGUUUAUCCCCAUGACAUACGACCAGCGCUGUUACCAGCUCCUCCUCCCUUUUUUCCACUUGUCAUCUUAACCAGCAGUUGUUGGUGCAAAUGUCGCCCUGAAGGAUCAUCCCUAAGACAGCUGUUGAAUGUGCCAUCUUUCAGCUGAGGAGGAAGGCAAGUCUGCAGUGCAGCGAAACCCCUAGGAUUCUCUGACAUCCUGAGGUAACAACGGAUAACGUGUUUCAGCAACCUCUUGGAAGGCUGAUCAACCAUUGAGGUAACCACGGUUGCUAAAGCAGCUCCCACAGCAUAGAACCGAUCAGCAUUGGCACAAACAUAAGCUAGACCGGCGUCAUCUACGACAAUUUUUUCAGUGAUAAAAGUUGCCACAGUUUUUGAUAAUUCACUGCCGAUCGUCAUAUUAUGCAGGCAUAGAGGAACAAAUUCAUUUUCCAGCAGAAAAUUGAUAAUUUUUGGAUCAUCAACCUUAACAAGAGCGCCAAUGACACCCAAGCUGGUCAACCGCAAGUACUCAAAUUGUUUGGCCUUGUCAUCAGUUUCCAAAAAUGCACAUAGGUACAACGGAAUGCGGGCUUGUAAGAAAUGGGUCCUAGUCUCCGAAUGUGAAGCAAUACACUGAAGAAGUGCUAGUGCAUUGCAAACUCGGUUUGAAGCACCUAAUGACAAAGUUGGGGGUGAAAGUGCAGGGUAGACUACUAUAAUCUCCUGGAGCAGUGAAGCAACUAUGCCAAAAGAAUUCCACAACAGCAGAGCCAGGUUUUGAAACAUCUCUCUUUUCUUGCGUAGCUCGGAAGGAGCAUGUCGUUUGAGUUCUGGAUCUAGCAAAUCAAGAAUAAGACGCUCAACAAGUUCAGGGUCUCUAGGGCUAGGAACCUCACUAGUCAACAUAGCAAAUAUGUGUAGACUAGCUAUAUCCAAUGAAAGAAGUGAUAUAAAACUCUAAGUCAAACAAUCCCCAAUGCUUCUACAGGAAU
rnacentral:sRNA from 1 species